rnacentral:rRNA from 1 species
GGUUGACCUCGGAUCAGGUAGGGAUACCCGCUGAACUUAAGCAUAUCAAUAAGCGGAGGAAAAGAAACCAACAGGGAUUGCCUCAGUAACGGCGAGUGAAGCGGCAAGAGCUCAAAUUUGAAAGCUGGCCCCUUCGGGGUCCGCGUUGUAAUUUGCAGAGGAUGCUUCGGGUGCAGCCCCCGUCUAAGUGCCCUGGAACGGGCCGUCAUAGAGGGUGAGAAUCCCGUCUGGGACGGGGUGUCUGCGUCCGUGUGAAGCUCCUUCGACGAGUCGAGUUGUUUGGGAAUGCAGCUCUAAAUGGGUGGUAAAUUUCAUCUAAAGCUAAAUACUGGCCGGAGACCGAUAGCGCACAAGUAGAGUGAUCGAAAGAUGAAAAGCACUUUGAAAAGAGAGUUAAACAGCACGUGAAAUUGUUGAAAGGGAAGCGUUUGCGACCAGACUCGCCCGCGGGGUUCAGCCGGCACUCGUGCCGGUGUACUUCCCCGUGGGCGGGCCAGCGUCGGUUUGGGCGGCCGGUCAAAGGCCCUCGGAAUGUAUCACCUCUCGGGGUGUCUUAUAGCCGAGGGUGCAAUGCGGCCUGCCCGGACCGAGGAACGCGCUUCGGCUCGGACGCUGGCGUAAUGGUCGUAAAUGACC